GGCCUCUCCCAGUGCUUACCACAGGCUGUGUUCUUACAUUGCUUGUACAGAAAGAGAAGGCAGAGUACACCCAACCAUAAACACCUCAGCCCAAGCCCUUUGACAGAUCUGUGUUGUAAAUGGGAAAACAUGG
ensembl:snoRNA small nucleolar RNA SNORA51